CCUACGUGAGACAGCAGUGGGGAAUAUUGCGCAAUGGGCGAAAGCCUGACGCAGCGACGCCGCGUGAGGGAUGAAUGUCUUCGGAUCGUAAACCUCUGUCAGCAGGGAAGAACGGUCACUGUGCUAAUCAGCAGUGAAUUGACGGUACCUGCAAAGGAAGCACCGGCUAACUCCGUGCCAGCAGCCGCGGUAAUACGGAGGGUGCGAGCGUUAAUCGGAAUUACUGGGCGUAAAGCGCUCGUAGGCGGUAUGUCAAGUCAAGGGUGAAAUCCCCGCGCUCAACGUGGGAACUGCCUUUGAAACUGGCAAACUGGAGUGUGUGAGAGGAUAGUGGAAUUCCAGGUGUAGGAGUGAAAUCCGUAGAUAUCUGGAGGAACAUCAGUGGCGAAGGCGACUAUCUGGCACAUAACUGACGCUGAGGAGCGAAAGCGUGGGUAGCAAACAGGAUUAGAUACCCCUGUAGUC
rnacentral:rRNA from 1 species